rnacentral:rRNA from 1 species
GUUUGAUUCAUGGCUCAGAACGAACGCUGGCGGCAGGCCUAACACAUGCAAGUCGAGCGCGCCUUUCGGGGUGAGCGGCGGACGGGUUAGUAACGCGUGGGAAUAUACCCUUUGGUACGGAAUAGCCUCUGGAAACGGAGAGUAAUACCGUAUGAGCCCUUCGGGGGAAAGAUUUAUCGCCAAAGGAUUAGCCCGCGUUAGAUUAGGUAGUUGGUGGGGUAAUGGCCUACCAAGCCUACGAUCUAUAGCUGGUUUUAGAGGAUGAUCAGCAACACUGGGACUGAGACACGGCCCAGACUCCUACGGGAGGCAGCAGUGGGGAAUCUUGGACAAUGGGCGCAAGCCUGAUCCAGCCAUGCCGCGUGAGUGAUGAAGGCCUUAGGGUCGUAAAGCUCUUUCGCCUGUGAAGAUAAUGACGGUAGCAGGUAAAGAAACCCCGGCUAACUCCGUGCCAGCAGCCGCGGUAAUACGGAGGGGGUUAGCGUUGUUCGGAAUUACUGGGCGUAAAGCGCACGUAGGCGGACUGGAAAGUAUGGGGUGAAAUCCCAGGGCUCAACCCUGGAACUGCCUCAUAAACUAUCAGUCUAGAGUUCGAGAGAGGUGAGUGGAAUUCCGAGUGUAGAGGUGAAAUUCGUAGAUAUUCGGAGGAACACCAGUGGCGAAGGCGGCUCACUGGCUCGAUACUGACGCUGAGGUGCGAAAGUGUGGGGAGCAAACAGGAUUAGAUACCCUGGUAGUCCACACCGUAAACGAUGAAUGCCAGUCGUCGGGUAGCAUGCUAUUCGGUGACACACCUAACGGAUUAAGCAUUCC